rnacentral:lncRNA from 1 species
AUAUAUAUAUAUAUAUAUAUAUAUAUAUAUAUGGGAAAAACUUCAAAAACCUCAUGUGGUUUCGUAGUUUCUUAGUUUGCCCCUGUAGUUUAAAAUGUAUCAAAUUGCCCCCUUAUGGUUUCAUUUUUAUCUUUUCGGUAACUUUUUCGUUAAUAUUUCAUUAAAUUAUAUACAAAAAAAUUUCAGAUAUCCAUCUAAAUUUAUCAAAUAUUCACUAUAGUACCCUUUAAUUUUAACUUUAUUACUGAUUUAAGAAAAAAAAUAAUGAAAUUGAUAAGAAAAAGAGAAAAAAGAAACCACAGGAGAGCAAAUUGAUAUAUUUUAAAUCAUAGAAGGGUCAAAUGAGAAACCACAAAACCACAGGGGGGAUUUUUGAAGUUUUCCCAUAUAUAUAUC